rnacentral:tRNA from 1 species
UAUUUAAAGAUUUUACAAAUCACUCUUAUAUCUUCAAUAUAAUACUCUAAACUUUAAGUUAUUUAAAU